rnacentral:sRNA from 1 species
AAGGGGGGAUGUUCGACUAAGGUUUCCACGUCCUGUGGCAUCGUCGAUCUACCUUACGUCUUGUAGG